GCGGACAGAAGGGGAGCUUGCUCCCGGAUGUUAGCGGCGGACGGGUGAGUAACACGUGGGUAACCUGCCUGUAAGACUGGGAUAACUCCGGGAAACCGGAGCUAAUACCGGAUAGUUCCUUGAACCGCAUGGUUCAAGGAUGAAAGACGGUUUCGGCUGUCACUUACAGAUGGACCCGCGGCGCAUUAGCUAGUUGGUGAGGUAACGGCUCACCAAGGCGACGAUGCGUAGCCGACCUGAGAGGGUGAUCGGCCACACUGGGACUGAGACACGGCCCAGACUCCUACGGGAGGCAGCAGUAGGGAAUCUUCCGCAAUGGACGAAAGUCUGACGGAGCAACGCCGCGUGAGUGAUGAAGGUUUUCGGAUCGUAAAGCUCUGUUGUUAGGGAAGAACAAGUGCAAGAGUAACUGCUUGCACCUUGACGGUACCUAACCAGAAAGCCACGGCUAACUACGUGCCAGCAGCCGCGGUAAUACGUAGGUGGCAAGCGUUGUCCGGAAUUAUUGGGCGUAAAGGGCUCGCAGGCGGUUUCUUAAGUCUGAUGUGAAAGCCCCCGGCUCAACCGGGGAGGGUCAUUGGAAACUGGGAAACUUGAGUGCAGAAGAGGAGAGUGGAAUUCCACGUGUAGCGGUGAAAUGCGUAGAGAUGUGGAGGAACACCAGUGGCGAAGGCGACUCUCUGGUCUGUAACUGACGCUGAGGAGCGAAAGCGUGGGGAGCGAACAGGAUUAGAUACCCUGGUAGUCCACGCCGUAAACGAUGAGUGCUAAGUGUUAGGGGGUUUCCGCCCCUUAGUGCUGCAGCUAACGCAUUAAGCACUCCGCCUGGGGAGUACGGUCGCAAGACUGAAACUCAAAGGAAUUGACGG
rnacentral:rRNA from 1 species